rnacentral:rRNA from 1 species
AUGAACACAAACCUAAAAGUUGUAUUUUGGAAUGUCCGGGGCCUUUAUUCCCGUGCCAAGAGAUCUGCUGCUCGCUCCGUGAUUGCGGCGGCCGCCCCUUGCAUCGUCUGUCUCCAGGAAACCAGGAUGGAGAUCUUCUCCGCCUCACUUGUUCUCAAAACGCUUGAGGCUCAAUUCCACGCCUUCUAUUACCUCCCUGCUGCGGGUACCCGGGGUGGUAUCCUGUUGGCAUGGUGUAGCUCCAUCAUCAAGCUCUCCAAUCCCACCAUUGGCCAGCACCAUGUCUCUGCGCUCGUCUCUCCCCUUGUGGGUGAUCAGCACUGGUGGAUUUCUGGAGUCUACAGCCUGCAGGGCAACAUGGAGCAAAUUACCUUCCUCGACGAGCUGCACGAUUUUUAG